GCCAGAUUACCUUCACCACUGUCUCUAUUCUCCUACCUUUUAUCUAUCCACAAGUCACUGCAACAAAAACAUUGAGGGGCUGGAGAUGUCCAGAAAAGGGCAACAGAAAUGGUGAAGGGUCCAAAGGAAAGGGUGAUUAGAUGUUGGAAUGCCCAGGGAGGCGGUGCAGUCAUUAUCCCUGAAGGUGUUUUAGGAAAGGCUGGAGUGCCUUGGUGCCAUGGUGGAGCUGACAAGGUGAUGAUCAGUCAAAGGAGGACAUCUGUAGCAGCAACAGUGAAACUGGAGAAAAUCUGUCAUCAGGCAGGCUCCCAUCAGAACAGAGACUCCUGGGCUUCCUCAAAUCCACACUUUCUAGGUAAAUUUGUCCCUCAGGAGGAAAUCAGAUCAAGGAGAUCAGACAAUCUACUCUUGGGAGUCUACCAGCAUAGGUUUGGAGCAUAGUCAAAGGACAACUGAGGUCAGAUAUGGCAGGGGAGGCAUCCCUGGCAUUUUUCUUGGAGCAAUAGUUCUGGUAUAAGGACAUGCCAUUUUCCUUUAGAACUUUCUGGAGUCUGCAAAGACCUGUGAUAUCAGCAGUUUUAGGAGAUGACUUUUUCUAGUUUUAUACUCUGUCAUUUGGUAUGGAAGAAGGGGCUUGGGACCAAACUCAUUCAGAUUUCAUUUGCUCUCCCAGAAGGUUAUCUGCCUUCUGGUUUAUGAUUUUUUUAACAACUUGUUUGCAAGGCACAUUAUGCUGGUAAAGUUCAGCUGAUCCACGACUUUGUCAUAACUUAGAGAGGUGCUGCCAGGGAGAUGGCUGUUGGGCCAGAAGAACUCAGGCAGAGUCCAUCUGAACAAGGAGAGACACCCUGGUAAAUUCAUCAUCAUCUCAGGGCAGGCACUGGGAGCCCAGGAUGAUGCAAAAAGAGCAGCAAAUAUAAACACACAUAUUUCAAGAGGGAUUAAAAGCAAAUACAGACAAAACAAAUAUCUGCAGUGAAAUGGGAAGUCUUCCUAUACACAAAACAGAAGCUCUCAGAGUUUACCACCUAAGAUAAACACCUAUGCUGUGGAUUUAAAGAGUUUUCCUAUGGUAGAUGUUUCCAUAGUGGUCUGUUAUGGAGGUGAUUAUAUUUCUGUGACUCACCUUAACAUCAGCAUGAUCCCCCAUCAUUUUUACAUAGACCAAAGAAAUUAUGCAUAGAUUUCAUAUACUCUCAACUGGAGUUGUCAUUAAGAAUCCAUCAGAAUCCAUCUUUUUUUCUCAUUCUUCCUCAGAUGUUCAUGGUUCUGCAAGAAACUGGCAAAAAUAAAUAGCAAAUUCAUAAUGCUAUUGCAAAUGUAAAUUAAAAAUACUCACAGAUGGAGAGAAUAUUUGGAAGUGUUAAAUAAGCUCAAAAAUGCUAGGAAAAGAAACCAACAAGUUUUUCCAAUGGUUCAACUUCUAAUGUCCACCUAACAACUUUUAUCCUGACCUACUUUUUGUACAAAUAAAUAUAGUCACUUGUAUUUUAUCACCAAAAUAGACAUAUUCAGAGAUGACAGGAAGUCUGAGUGUGAUUCAGUUAGAAAAGUCAAAACCAUGGAAAACCAGAUAUUCACUAGAAUUACUCAAAAACUGCUUCAUAAGGUGAAAAGCACAAAUAACCCACCCCUCAUAACCUAUAGCUGCUUAAAAUCUCUGUCCUCACCUCUGAACUAUCACAAUUAAAAUACUUCUUUGUAGUAAAAAAUGAAUGAAGAGAGGAUACAAAUCCAAAGAGAGGAUCCUUUUCAGCCCAUUCUGAAGGGAAAAAAUGCAGGAAAAAUUACAGAUUUUUUUUUUCCCCAAAAGAUUUUAUGCUUUUCCUCUGCAGUCUGCUGAGAUUGUGUGAGACCUAGCAUCUGGCUACCUGAAACUCAGUAUUCAGCCCCACAGAAGGGUAUAUCACAAGAUGUACUCAUUCCUUGCUUGAAUGCAGAUUAUUAGCAAAGACUUUUUUCAAACACAGGUAUGAGCGUUGCCCUUAGGGCUGAGUUGUGCUACAAGGUUCUUGAAGAAAAGAAAUAAAUACAGAAAAGUCUGGCACAGGAUGGAGCCAUUCACGGGGCGCCUUAGGAAACAAACUCCUGGGGUACUCCAGGAGCAGUUUUCUCUCCAUGCACCCCGACUUUCCUUCCCAGCCAUCUACAUCAUUGUUA